UACGUAGGCAGCGAGCGUUGUUCGGAAUUACUGGGCGUAAAGCGCGUGUAGGCGGGACGGCAAGUCUGGCGUGAAAGGCUCGGGCUCAACCCGAGAUGGCCGCUGGAAACUGCCGUUCUUGAGGGUCGAAGAGGAGAGUGGAAUUCCUGGUGUAGCGGUGAAAUGCGUAGAGAUCAGGAGGAACACCCAUGGCGAAGGCAGCUCUCUGGUCGACCUCUGACGCUGAGACGCGAAAGCGUGGGGAGCGAACAGG
rnacentral:rRNA from 1 species